AUUCCAGUACAUCUGCCAUCAGAAGCCUUGAUGCUCUUCUACGCCUCUCAGCUCUCUUAUCCACUCCCGAACGCUCCUCUUUUAUCCAGCCUACUGGGGGCAAGAGCUUUAGGGGGACAACUCGUAUACACCCAGGUGGCUAGGACCUCAGUAUAACACUGAAUAGACGAGGAGGAACCAGAUAUCCUUGUCUUGUUCGUGAUCGUAGAGAAAGCCUUCAGUUUUUCACCAGUAUUCUAUCAACUGAGGAGAGGGGAGUAUUAAACUCACCAGCUCAGUGAUUGUGGAAUUGUCUGUUUCUCCCUUUGAUGAUGUCAAUUGUUUCAGCAUGUUCAAGAUAUUGUUGUACUGUCCUUUGGUCUUCAAAGUUUCUGAUGAGAGGUUAGUGGUUAUUCAAAUCCUUGUUCCCCUUUCCUCUAGCUGCUUUCAAGAUUUCCUCUUUAAGUUGGUCUUCAGUAGCUUGACUAGAAUGCACCCAGUGGGGUUUUCUUUGUAUUAAUCCUGCUGCUUAUUCACUGAACUUCUUGAAUCUGUAACUUUAUGUCUGUCACCAAAUUUGGGAAAUUUUUAGCCAUUAUUUCUUCAAAUAUUUUCUAUGCCCCAUACUUACUUGUCUUCUCCUAGGAUUCCAAUUACAUCUAAGUUACAUCUGAGUUCCUAGUCCCCCUCCCUUUUUUUCAAUGUUUUCUUUUUGUUCUUCAGAUUGGAUCAUUUCUAUUGACCUAUCUUCAAGUUCCCUGACUCCUCUGUCAUCUCCAUUCUGCUAUUAAGCCCUUCUAGUCAAGCUUUUAAAUCAGAUUAUGAGUUAAUAGGAAAAAAAAUAUAUAUAUAUAUAUAUAUUUAUAUAUACUGCUCUCUGCCUCCAUUCCUGGCAUGGAUUCCUAAAACCCUUAUAAAUUCCUAAGGGAUAAGAACACUUGGAGAAGCUCUUGUUCUAAUGAGGUGACUCCAGGUGGCUCCUGGAUGGGUGCUGGUCACUAGAAAGACCAAGCCAUGACUAGAAGGUGGAAUUUUCAGCCUCACCCCAUUCUCCUGAGAGUGGAGAGGGGCUGGAAACGGAGUUAAUAAUGGAUCAUGCUUACGUGAGGAAGCCUCCAUCAAAUCCCCACAGUAUGGGGUUCAGAGAGCCUCCAGGUUGGCGAACACAUCCACCUACUGGGAGGGUGACACACCCCAACGCCAGGGGGACAGAAACUCCUGUGCUCGGGACCCUCCUAGAUCUCGCCCUAUGUAUCUCUUCAUCUAGCUGUUCAUCUGUAUCCUUUAUUAUAUCCCUUAACAAAUGGGUAAAUGCAGGUGUUUCCCUGAGUUCUGUGAGCUACUCUAGCAAAUUAGUUGAACCCAAGGGGUGGGUCAUGGGAACCUCUGAUUUGUAGUCAAUUGGGCAGAAGUAGAGGUGGCAACCUGGACUUGUGAUUGGCAUCUAAAGUGGGAGCAGCCUUGUGGGAGCGAGCCCUUAACCUGUGGAACCUCGCACUAUCUUCAGGGAGAUAGUAUCAGAAUUGAGUUAAAUUGUAGGGGCCGGCCCCAUGGCCGAGUGGUUAAGUUCAUGCACCC